rnacentral:rRNA from 1 species
UACGUAGGGCGCAAGCGUUGUCCGGAAUUAUUGGGCGUAAAGAGCUCGUAGGCGGCCUGUUGCGUCCGCUGUGAAAUCCCGGGGCUCAACCCCGGGCCUGCAGUGGAUACGGGCUGGCUAGAGGCAGGCAGGGGAGAACGGAAUUCCUGGUGUAGCGGUGAAAUGCGCAGAUAUCAGGAGGAACACCGGUGGCGAAGGCGGCGACCUGGACGGACACUGACGCUGAGACGCGAAAGCGUGGGGAGCAAACAGG